rnacentral:rRNA from 1 species
CGUAGGUAACCUGCCUCUUAGCGGGGGAUAACUAUUGGAAACGAUAGCUAAUACCGCAUAAAAGUCGAUAUCGCAUGAUGUUGAUUUGAAAGGUGCAAUUGCAUCACUAAGAGAUGGACCUGCGUUGUAUUAGCUAGUUGGUGAGGUAACGGCCCACCAAGGCGACGAUACAUAGCCGACCUGAGAGGGUGAUCGGCCACACUGGGACUGAGACACGGCCCAG